GGCAGGUGGGGCGGGAAGGGCAUGCUACAAUGAGAAAGAAAAGCGACAUCACUUGGGGCACAUGAUCAACGGCAGCCAAUUAGGUUGAAUUAUCAAAGGGGAACAGUUAAAUUUGUAAUUUAGGUUGUGUGAAACUCUUUGGGCCUCAUAAACAACCACAGAACCACAAGUUGGGUGCAGACCAGUCACACAACAGUGGGUCCGGGAUAUUGGUCAGCACACAGCAACUCAUUCUGAUUUAAACCACAGAGUGCCAAGCAUUUCGUACAGUGGUGGGAGACCUGUGCAACCAGUUAGGACGGCUUCACGGGACACCAUGGCUUCGAACAGCAUAUUCGAGUCAUUUCCUUCGUAUCAACAGUGCUUCAUGCGAGAUUUCCAGCACCCACAGUUCUUUGUUCGAUUUUAAGGAGAACUGGGAGUGGCCAGCACACAUUGGAAAUUCGGACACAGAUUUCAGAUGAUGUCAUUGCCAUUCUGAGUUACACUGUCCCAGAAAUGGACAACACCGUCCCCAACCCUCCAAAGAAAACGUACUGCCCACCCAAAGUGAGCCGUAACCACCUCCUUCUGCCUUAUGCCAAUCAACACGAGCCCUGAGAACAAAUCAAGGCCUCCCUUCAAGAUCACAUGCCCACACCAUCUGCCAGUCAGCUGCCCAGCUACUAGCUCUCAGCUGGUUAGACGGAUGUCAGUAGCAAGGGGAAAGCUUCUGCUAUUCUUAGGACCCAGGGACCAUUUAAAAUGUAUCUGCCUGUUGUCCUCUGUAAACAAGUAAUGAUUCCUGAUUUUGUAAUUUCUGUAGUAAUUUCUGCAUUGGUAAGGAAUCCCACCCGGAGAAUUAGUGAUACACCGGUUUAAUAUUAUCACAAACCUUAACUUGUGAGAGCAACCUUGUUUCUGACAGUUAAUCUUGGACACAGCAUACUCAUCAAAUAAUAGACCCAAGUAGCAAGUGGUGUGGAUUUGUGAAUUGCAAAUUGGACUGAAAUAAUGAUAGUCCAGCUCCUGUACAUAGAGUUUAGAGUUUUUAAAUAUAGGUACGCAAAGAGGCAAAGAAAUAAGAUAGCAAGGGGGAAAGGCUGGAAGGAUAUUAUCAAGCUGGA